rnacentral:pre_miRNA from 1 species
UACGUACUACCUCCAUCCGGAAAUACUUGUCACAUAAAUUGAUGUAUCUAGAUGUAUUUUAGUUCAAAAUACAUUGAUUUUUAUUUAUUUUAGCGAUAAGUAACUCCGGACGGAGGGACUAUAUA